AUAAAUUAAUCUUUAUUGAACUUUUAAGAAAUUGUUGAAAUUAAGGUUAAUUACAAGAUUUGCAAGUAAUUACAUUCUCAAAAUUUAUUCAUUCACUUUCAGAAUAAUGUAUUGAGGGAAAAUGGGUAAAAGCUUUAUCACAACAAUUGACUCCAAAUCAGUUUGUGUGAGAAGCACUUUCGCGAAGAAGAUAUUAAGAAAAUUGAUCGAUUGAUUAUUAAUGGAGCUGAAAUUAUCAUCCCUCGCGAAAGGUGGACUCUUUUGAAUGACAAUGUCAUUCCAAUAAACCCUCACGAUUUGGAAAAGGACAUUUCUGAAGAGCAAGUUCCAAUAGUGCAAAAUGACAUUAAUAACUGACCAAUCGAAAACCUGGAUUAUACACAACCCUUGUUAAAAAUCGUUCAAGGUAACAAUUUAAAAGAAGAUUCUCAACCAGCAGGACCCCAUCAUAUGGAAUCACCAGAGAUUGUAACAGCUAAUAAUGUCAUUAUCUCGAACAUGUCUCCA